CGGGGAAUCGAACACGAGUUCUCCCUACCAAGUUCAGCACCAAUCACCACUAAACCAACAGAAAACUGGUAUUAAUCAAAGUUAUUGAUAUACUCCAUAUAUAUACUUUUCCUUUUUUUCCGGAAGCCUUGAAAUCGGUCCCAAGUUCCCAACAGAAUAAAACUCAUGGCAUUUCCCCCAAACAGAAAAACAAAACUUGCCUCGCCUGACAGCGGAAACGGCAGCGGCGACGGCGGAAGCCCCAAUUCUUUUUCCUUCCUGUCAACCACCCGAACCCUAACCUCAACCAUAUAAAGGCAUUACAGAACCAGCAGUCGCCAGAGCAAUACGAUUACCUCUCGAAGAAAGCUAUGAGAGUGGCGAAGAAGCUCAAGACUCAGAAAAGGAAGAAGGCGCGGAGAGAAGAGGAAUGGACGGAGUUGGAGAGAGAAAGAGUUAGGGUUGAUGCAAUGAUGCGGAUGAGUUUGAGAUGAGAGGAGGAGUUUAAUUUUGAUCAUAGGAAGUUUAGGUUAUGAUUCGAUAUGUGAAGGUAGAAACAAGACAAAUGAUCAUCCUACCAAGUAUCUGACGAAUUUAAGGGAUGACCUGUAAAAGAAAUUGAGGAGAUUUAUGAUGGAACAAUAGUGGUUCUUGGUUUAGAUAGGCUCAUGUCAACCCAUGUGGAGUAUUGAGAGGAAUAAAUGUUGGUUUUCGAGUGGGAGCUGGGUGAAGCUAGGAGAAAGGAUGCAAUUGAUCGAGAUAGAGUGCGUAGGGAACAAUCUCCUGUUCAGUUACUGGAUGAAGAAAGAGAUCUACUGUCGAUUAUUGAAGCAUAUGUCAGAAAUUUCUUGGAAGUCUAGAAUAUCAAAAAUUUGGUAGCACUACAAGCAGAAAUUGAGUCUGAGAUGCGUUCUGCAAAAGCCAUGGUAGUUGAGUAUGCGCUUAAACAGCUUCACAUUUAUAUGUUUGAAGGCUUUUCAUAAGGAGGUCAUUCCAUGGAGGCAUUCCAUUCCCACCGGUUUGAACAGCCUCUCCUAGAAGAAAACUUGAAAUCUGAAGGAAAAGACAGAAGAAAAGGAAAUCUACGAAAGAGGCAAAGGCUUUUCAGACUGUGAAUAAAGAGUGGGAGUAUUCUCUUAGAAACGGGUUAUGAUUACACAUUUGGAAGAGCCAUUCUUCGUAUGUAAUUUCAACUUUAAGCAGUACCGUUAGCUCCCUUAUCGAAGGUGAAGCUACCUCCGCUCUGCACAUGCAAGUUUACAGCCUGAGUUUGGACCAAAGUGCAAUUGCUGGAAGAAAUGUUUAGGAAUUGUAACUCUCUUUUUCUUUCAUCUACAAGUCUCUCAUAAUUGUAAACGUACUGCUGAAAUUGUUGAAUAUAUAAUCAAUCUAUUGUAACUA